UGUUAAUUUAUUUAUUAUAAAUAAAAAAAAAAUAAUUAAAAUUUUAUUAGUAAUACGAAAAGACUUUUUCGACAACCCAAUAACUGAUAUAACAUCAAAUAACAAAUAAUAUCUAACUAGUAUUGAACAAAUAAGCAAAGUAAUUCAAAUAAUCAUUUUAAUAAAGUAAUAACUUGCAUUACAUAAAUUUUAUUAAAUGGUUGGUCAUAAAGCUUUAAAAUUUAUAUGCAUGUAGCUUAAAUGUCAACACAACACCCCAAAUACCACAAAAGUAGGAAUAAAAAAGUUUUACACAACGCCCUAAAAUUUAGCAUACAUAUAGUAUGUCAACAAAACCCAAGGUUUAUUACUGUAUCUACUGUGCUAAUAGUGCAAUUCAGCGCUUCUGAUAAAAAAAAUUUUAAGACGUUAUGCCUACCAAACUUAACUACCAAAACUAAAGUGGUAACACUGAUUGAAAUUUAUGAAAUCUAGACAUAUGUACAUAUAUUAUGAGGAUUUACUAUGUAUAGUAAUUAUAUAGAAAUCUUCCCGACGAAAAUAUGGAGUUAACAAAUAUCAAACACAUCUACAACAAAAAGCCACAUGAGCUAUUAUAGAAUUUGUUUCUCUUGAUAAAUCUUGGGUUAAUUUCUGAAGUACGACCUUUGGUCCAACCAGGGUAUAUUUAUGAAGCGCGGCCGUCUAUGCAGAAAGGAAUUCUACGUGAAAAAAAUAAUAAUGUGCUAUUUACUUCCUGCCUUUGGGGCAUUAUUUGUUUUCUUUAUUUAUUUUGGUGACUUUGUAAAAUAUAUAAACUGUUUAUAUGCUAGAAAGCAAUACUUUUGUUAUUGUGGAAACAAAAAGAAUUUAUUAUACAUUGAAUAAAUGUUAUUUUUGCACUGUUUAAUAUAAAAUAAAUGGGUAUAAACGAAUAAAUGAAGUGCUAGUGAAUAUAAAAGGAGAAACACACAAUUUAAAUUUUUGAACAUUAAAUGUAAAUAAUUCAAAAACCAAAAGUCAGCAGCACCUACAUAUGUACAUAUAUAGUAUAUACGUAUAUGUAAAAACCGCUGUAAGUUAAAAACGGAGGUUAAGAAUACACUUUUUAUUAUUUCAUUGAUUGUUCUUAUGAAAUCAAAAUUAUAUAUAUUAAUGAAUAACUAAGUAUGGAAUGGUAGUGUAGUGUUUGUAUGCAUAAAUUGCAAGUCAUAAUUAGACUGUUAAUGGAAAAUAGCUCCAAGCAAUUAACACGAGAGAAAUCAGCUUAGGAAUUUGUGAGAAGCUCUACCAAAGUAGAAAAUAACUAUUAAGGUGCGAAAAUUGAUUCUUUUGCAAUAGUUAUUACGCUUUUCAAAUAAGAAUACAUGUACAUAUAUAUGUAUCUACAUAUGUAUAUAUAUGUAUGUAGAUAGGUAAAAUGGCUGUCUUACGACGCACCUAGGGCUUUAGAGCCACAUUGUGAUAAUACAUAUCGCAUUUUUUAAAAAAGAAAAAUUUUACAAGGGGCCAAUUUCGUAAAUACAUGUACAUUAAAUAGCUUAAAUUAAAGCUUGGGAAAUAAAAAUUAGCAAUGGUGUAUUGGAACUUAGAUGUUAUAAAAACUAGUGUUAUGCAUAUUUAAAUAUAAUUAUGUAAAAUUCAAAAAAUUAUCUAAAAUCUACACUUAAAAUAUAACGGAAAUUCUACACAUAUUUAAUUUAGUUUUAACAUUCAUAGUUAAAGGGUUAAAACGACAAAAAAAGUUUAGAUAAGUAUAACUACAAAUUCUUCCAUAAAAUCUACGAAUACACUGAAACCCCAACUAAACUUUAAUUGAUUUUUAUAAUUAGGUGAUUUUAACUUCAUAAAACCCUUAUCUCGAUAUUAGCACAACACUUACCGACAAAUUGUUCUUAUAGUCGAUUAGUUGAUUUGUGGCUGCGUCACGACUAGACAUAUUUUCUAAGAUUAGCUUCAAACAGUUUAAAGAAUCACAAACGCUAAACCGGCAAAAGUACGUAAUUUAAUUCCAGAAUUAAAAUAUAUUUUAAAACCGCCUUUACACGGAAAAA
rnacentral:lncRNA from 1 species